rnacentral:rRNA from 1 species
AUUGAACGCUGGCGGCAGGCUUAACACAUGCAAGUCGAGCGGAGGUGAGGUGCUUGCACCUUAUCUUAGCGGCGGACGGGUGAGUAAUGCUUAGGAAUCUGCCUAUUAGUGGGGGACAACAUUCCGAAAGGAAUGCUAAUACCGCAUACGUCCUACGGGAGAAAGCAGGGGAUCUUCGGACCUUGCGCUAAUAGAUGAGCCUAAGUCGGAUUAGCUAGUUGGUGGGGUAAAGGCCUACCAAGGCGACGAUCUGUAGCGGGUCUGAGAGGAUGAUCCGCCACACUGGGACUGAGACACGGCCCAGACUCCUACGGGAGGCAGCAGUGGGGAAUAUUGGACAAUGGGGGGAACCCUGAUCUAGCCAUGCCGCGUGUGUGAAGAAGGCCUUAUGGUUGUAAAGCACUUUAAGCGAGGAGGAGGCUACUGAGACUAAUACUCUUGGAUAGUGGACGUUACUCGCAGAAUAAGCACCGGCUAACUCUGUGCCAGCCGCCGCCGUAAUAC